rnacentral:rRNA from 1 species
UUUUAGCAUAUAAGUAAGCGGAGGNGCAAGAAACUAAACAGGAUCCCCAUAGUAAUGGCGAAUGAACAGGGAUGAGCUCAGCAUGGAAAUUGGGGCCUGUGGCUGUGACUUGUAAUCUUGUGAGGCAUUGCCAACAGAGGCGCAGAUGUAAGUCUCUUGGAAAAGAGCAUCAAUGAGGGUGAGAGUCCUGCUUGUCAUUUGCAGCCCCCCUGUGCACGGUGUGCCUUCUAAGAGUCACGUUCCUCGGGAUUGGAGCGCAAAGUGGGUGGUAACUUUCAUCUGAAGCUAAACAAUGGUUUGGGACCGAUAGGAAACAAGUACCAUGAGGGAAAGGUGAAAAGGACUUUGGAAAGAGAGUUAAAAGUGCCUGAAAUUGCUGAAGGGGAAGCGAAUGGAACCAGUGGCGCUGGGUGAGAUUGUCACACGCUGCAGGGAUUGGUUGCUGCAUCAGCGCAAGCGAUCUAGCGACUGCUGAAUUGUAAGUGUGUGGUGUGUCUUGCCUUGUGUGUCAUUGUGGGUUUAUGCAUUAAGACAAUUCAAAGUGCAUGGCAAUAUGUUUCUGAAUCUAUGAAUGUGUUUUGUUAUGUUUAUGCAUAAGCUUCCUAUUCUAUGUCUGGCUGCAGUGCUUGCCGUCCCCAUUUUUUUGGAUAGAUGAGCUGAGCAUGCCUUCUGCACAGAUCUUGGCUAAAU